CAUGAUUAACGAAAGUUAGGAUUGUAUAGAAAGUAGUCGCAGUCGCUUCAACUCCAACUUGUAGAUAUAAUCUUUGAUUUUAUUUACGAGUGAGGUGAGAAACAACUAUUAAAGUUGGGAAUUUUAAUUUUGUUAAGAAAUUAAAGACCUGU
rnacentral:ncRNA from 1 species